rnacentral:rRNA from 1 species
AACGAACGCUGGCGGCGUGGAUAAGACAUGCAAGUCGAACGGGAUUUUUUUCUGUAGCAAUACAGAGAAAAGUCUAGUGGCGAACGGGUGCGUAACACGUGAGCAACCUGCCGUGAAGUGGGGGAUAGCUCGCCGAAAGGCGAAUUAAUACCGCAUGUGGCCAAGGAAGACAUCUUCCUGACGCCAAAGCCGGGGCAACCUGGCGCUUCUUGAGGGGCUCGCGGCCUAUCAGCUUGUUGGUGAGGUAACGGCUCACCAAGGCUAUGACGGGUAGCUGGUCUGAGAGGACGACCAGCCAAACUGGAACUGAGACACGGUCCAGACACCUACGGGUGGCAGCAGUCGGGAAUUUUUCACAAUGGGGGAAACCCUGAUGGAGCGACGCCGCGUGGAGGAUGAAGGUUUUCGGAUUGUAAACUCCUGUCAUUAGAGAACAAGGCACACGGUUUAACUGGCCGUGUGUUGAUAGUAUCUGAAGAGGAAGAGACGGCUAACUCUGUGCCAGCAGCCGCCGUAA